CUAUGUCUAUAUCCCAUUCCGAUUCUUGUUUUCUUCCCCAUUUCUUUCUCCCCCGUUCCCCUUCCAACCUGCGAUUUCCAGGGUUUCGGCCACAUCUCCAACCGACGAUGGCGGCGUGAUAUGCGACGACCGCUUGAUCUCCGGCCGUGGAAGGUUUUCGAUUGUUGAAGAAGAAGCCCAAGAUCAUGCAGCAGCAUCUUGAUUAUUGUUUCCCUGGUUUAUGGCUAUCCAAGAUAACUCCUCGAUCCUACAAAGCCAAUGAAUAAGACAUGUGUUCUUAUAGUCCGUAUACAUUGUGAAGGUUGUAAGGAUAGGUCAGGAAGAAGGUGCAGAAGGUUCAAGAAGGAAAAUGUUUGUCUGGCAAACUCUAUAUCUGAAAUGCAUAAAUUUGGAGCAAUCUAUAAUAUCAAAUGGUUCUCAUACUUUGGCACAUGAAUCCAAUGAUUUGGGUAAAAAAGAUAAAAAGAAGAAAGGAACAAAAAGAGGAAGGCACUUUGAUAGAGAUUCUCGAGCUACUAAUCCAGAGGUUCGUUUGGAGUCUCUAACUAGGCAAUAUGAAUGAAGUCUCUAAUACUCUAACUUUAUUUUUGUCCUGAUUUGAUAAUGUUGUUUGUGCAGGUCUCAAUUUGGUGUGAUCUCACUGUAGUUGAAGACAGCUGUAUUUGUUCACCUCUUUUCGGCAAAGGAGAUUUGAUGGGGAUCAAAGAUUUUGUGGCACACGA